GUAGGUUGGCGCGAGGCAGUUUCGCAGCUGCCUUAUGGGCAUGUUAAACUGGUGAGCUUGCUGCACCUAGCAUUGUGUUUCUGGAAGGUGAUCAAUAAUGUUGUAGUUCCUGCUAUUAGCUGCAAUUAUACUAACUGACAUCAGAUAUUACCAUUUGUGCUUCCUGCCCUGAACAUCAAUAUUGAUGAACUGGGUGAGGUGAGGAACAGCUGUUAACACUACUAGGAGUUAUGUUAGGAGCCUUUCAUGAGGAAGUUCACUAAAGAAUUUUGGCAAAGACUAAUCAGACUAUCUCAUCAAGUUUAUGGCUCAAAUGGCCAUGGUAAAUAAGGGUUGGAGCGUGAAGAUGUUCGGAUAGAGUAGUCGCUGGUUGAUUUGUAGGUUGAGGAGUAAAUGGAUGAAAGCAUGUAGCGAGUGGGCUGAUUGUAAGCAACAAAUUACGGGCAGCUUAUGCCAGACGUUUAACCCAACUAGUAAUUGUGUGCGCGAAAUGCACGUUAACAUGAGGCAAAGAUGUUAAUUGUAUUGCACAUUAAUAUUAGGCAAAAUAUACUUAAAUUGCAUGUUAAUAGGUGCUAGGCUAUAAUUACUUUAUUAAUGCUGAUAUUUAUACUAUUAAGCAUGAUAUUAAUUAGUUGUGCUAAACACCAUAGCGACGUAGACUGUUGGAUAAUUGCGGUUGAAUGGGUGAGAUUUUGUUGGAUCUCCACAACUAGCUCUUUUUAUAUUGGUAUAUAGAUAUUUGCACAUGAGCUUCCUUUUUUUUUAUAAUGUUCUGCUGCGGCUUAAACAAACAUCCUUCCAAGUUUCCAAUCAACAUCAUGAACAAUUCAUGCACUUCACUAUUACCCUUUUGGGCUUCAAAGUCUUAAUUUUUGUUUUGUAAACUAUUGAUGACCUGUCGACACAAAUUUCUGCAUCUUUGAUACUGUUUCCCCACUGCCCUUUCAAGUAGCAUACACUGUCUUAUUUUCUCCCUGUUUGUUAACCAAAACGUCAUGUUUCAAGCUGACUUAUUUUCCACUCUCCAAAUGACAGCUUGCUUUGGGAAAGAAUGAUGCGGUGAAGAUGGCCGUGAUAACCAAGGCUCAGAAAGCUUUUAGGGGUCCGUCCUUGUCGGCGCACCUUGUGUGCUGAUUAUUUAUCUUAUAUAUAUUGUGUUGAUAGUGAACUGUUUGUCAUAGCAAUUCGAUUGUCAGUAGGAAUAAUAUUGAACAUUUGUGCCAAAUGUUGCACGCACUAAGUUAGGUUUCCUUAGUAGAUAAAAGUUAUGGGUGAUGUACGAUAUUCAUCUUCUACUGUACCGCUCUCCCAAGAUUAUGUUUCAAAACUCGUAAUUCAGGAUGUACAAAGUUAUCGUUGUCUCAUUGUGCUAUGCUUGAAGUUUUUUCAGUUUGUGUUGG
rnacentral:lncRNA from 1 species